AUCUUCAUCAUAAGCUUUUAUCUUCUAAUGAACUCCGUUGUUAUGAUGAAGUCCUUAGGACUAUUUAAGUUCGAUAAAAAGAGGAUUUAUCGAUUAGUCCUUAAAACUGUUCACGACCAAAUGAUAAGCUGUUAAUAAGGACGACAGCUUCUAUCGAGCAUAGGUCGCUGUAGGCCAUAUGGGUUGAUUGUCCUCUUAACCAAAGAGUGUGGAGACACUGGUAUGGCAUACAGGUGAGAUGUAAGGGUACAUCAUCAUUGAACAUGACCAACUCCAGAGUAUUCUGCUGUCGAGAAUGUCUUUGAUGGGAUAUAGGUAUAAGUGUCCCUUAGACUUGAGAUCGCCUCAGUGACUUGCAAGCAACUCACUGUGCUUUGGUACUGGACUAACUAAAUUUCUAAUUC
rnacentral:lncRNA from 1 species